rnacentral:rRNA from 1 species
AGUAGUUUGAUCGUGGCUCGAGGACGACGCUGGCGGCGUGCUUAACACAUGCAAGUCGAACGGGGAUUACCGGACGGAAGGGCUUCGGCCUGGAAGGCUGGCAAUUCUAGUGGCGGACGGGUGAGUAACGCGUGAGCGAUCUAUCCCAUACAGGGGGAUAACACUUGGAAACAGGUGCUAAUACCGCAUAAGACCACAGAGCCGCAUGGUUCAGGGGUAAAAGGAGCGAUCCGGUAUGGGGUGAGCUCGCGUCCGAUUAGCUAGUUGGCGAGGUAACGGCCCACCAAGGCGACGAUCGGUAGCCGACCUGAGAGGGUGAUCGGCCACAUUGGAACUGAGAGACGGUCCAAACUCC